GGUGAAACCUGGAAGCUGACCAGACCAAACUUGGCUGGACACUGGUCUUUCUUGCUUCGCCUUUGUGGCGAAGGCCUCUUCUUAGAAGGACUCUUGAGGAAAACUCGAGGGAAGCUGUCGGCAAUAACAGGUCUGUUAUGCCCUUCGAUGUUCUGGGCGGCACGCGUGCUACAAUGGGGGGGAGAAAGAGU
rnacentral:rRNA from 1 species